rnacentral:rRNA from 1 species
GCCCAGAGAAAUUUGGAUUAAUACCCCAUAGUAUUAUUAAAUGGCAUCAUUUAAUUAUUAAAGUUCCAACGGUACAAGAUGAGCAUGCGUCCCAUUAGCUAGUUGGUGUGGUAACGGCACACCAAGGCAACGAUGGGUAGGGGUCCUGAGAGGGAGAUCCCCCACACUGGUACUGAGACACGGACCAGACUCCUACGGGAGGCAGCAGUGAGGAAUAUUGGUCAAUGGACGCAAGUCUGAACCAGCCAUGCCGCGUGCAGGAUGACGGUCCUAUGGAUUGUAAACUGCUUUUGUACAGGAAGAAACACUCCCUUGCGAGGGAGCUUGACGGUACUGUAAGAAUAAGGAUCGGCUAACUCCGUGCCAGCAGCCGCGGUAAUACGGAGGAUCCAAGCGUUAUCCGGAAUCAUUGGGUUUAAAGGGUCCGUAGGCGGUUUUAUAAGUCAGUGGUGAAAUCUGGUCGCUCAACGAUCAAACGGCCAUUGAUACUGUAAGACUUGAAUUACUUGGAAGUAACUAGAAUAUGUAGUGUAGCGGUGAAAUGCUUAGAGAUUACAUGGAAUACCAAUUGCGAAGGCAGGUUACUACGAGUACAUUGACGCUGAUGGACGAAAGCGUGGGGAGCGGACAGGAUUAGAUACCCUGGUAGUCCACGCCGUAAACGAUGGAUACUAGCUGUUUGGAGCAAUCUGAGUGGCUAAGCGAAAGUGAUAAGUAUCCCACCUGGGGAGUACGCUCGCAAGAGUGAAACUCAAAGGAAUUGACGGGGGCCCGCACAAGCGGAGGAGCAUGUGGUUUAAUUCGAUGAUACGCGAGGAACCUUACCAAGGCUUAAAUGGGAAACGACAGAUUUGGAAACAGAUCUUUCUUCGGACGUUUUUCAAGGUGCUGCAUGGUUGUCGUCAGCUCGUGCCGUGAGGUGUCAGGUUAAGUCCUAUAACGAGCGCAACCCCUGUUGCUAGUUGCCAGCGAGUCAAGUCGGGAACUCUAGCAAGACUGCCGGUGCAAACCGUGAGGAAGGUGGGGAUGACGUCAAAUCAUCACGGCCCUUACGCCUUGGGCUACACACGUGCUACAAUGGACGGUACAGAGAGCAGCCACUACGCAAGUAGGAGC